ACCAUGCAUACGUGCAUAUUACCACAACGCAGAAGACGGUCGGUACAUCAGCACAUGAACACUAUCGUCCUCUACUACACACAUAGAGUUCGUUUUGAGGGAUCUGACUGAAGAAACGAGACAAUGAAAACACCAAAAGAAGACGUUGAUCGUGGAUAUGCCUGGGUGGUUCUUGCUGCCUGCUUUGCCAUUGAGGUUCUCUAUGGCGCUUUGAUCUGCUCUGUUGGGGUGAUUACACCGGCGAUUCUGGAGGAGAUUGACGGUGAUUUGGUCAAAGUGUCCUGGAUAGGAUCAACUCUGUUGGGGACAUUUACAAUGUGUGGUAAAUAUGAACAAGAAGCUACAUACGCCAAGUCACCACAUAAUGAUAAAAGUGGUUGUGCAGGUGCCGCCCCGGAGCGCCUAGCCAAACCGUAGCCUGUUAAAGGGACCAUUCAUCGGAAUGGUCGAAGGCCGACUGGGACACAGAUUGGCCAGUUUUGUUGGUGGCAUCCUGAUACUUCUGGGACUUACAUCCGCAUCCUUCUGCAGAACUGUCACCGGAUUAAUCCUCACGUUCGGCGUCAUAACGGGUUUAGGUUGCGGUCUGGCAGCUAAUGUGAGUGGCGUGGCUCCCGGUGACUACUUCAAUAAAAGACUACCCGCAGCAUAUGGUAUUUGCAUGUCUGGAGGUGCAUUAGGACUACUUGUAGUCGGCCCCUUAACUAUAUUUCUAUUAGAUCUGUACACCCUAUCCGGAACGUUGCUCAUUUUGGGUGCCAUCGGAUUUCAUGUGUGCUCAGCUGGAGUUCUAAUUAGACCAUCGUCAACACUGAAGCCAGAGAAGUCAAUUUCGGUGCAACCUGAUUGUGAAGAUGGGACUGAAGAGUGUGUUGAUGCACCUCAAGACCCUGCUGAGCUUAAUUGUGUGCCAAAAACAGAUGAUCCAUGUGCACAAAAUGAGACUACUGUUACAGUUUUCCUUCAGGGCGAUGAUGACAGACAUACCUGUUCACAAACAGAUGAUAAUGAAGACACAGACGUACGAAGUCCUGACUCUGGUUUUAUUACUAAAGAAGACAAUUUUAGAGCAGCAAAUACAACUGUUGCACCCCUGCUGGAACAGAACUCACGUUCACCAAAGAAAGAUUCAUGGUGCGGGGCAAUACGAGAAAGUGUAACUCUGUUUGGUGCAAAUGGAUUCUUCCUCUACCUCCUCAGUGUUCUAUUUUGGUCUCUUUCAGAAGCUACCUGCAUGGUUCAUUUACCAAAUUAUGCCGAAUAUAAAGGUAGUACACCUGCACAGUCAGCUAGUCUGUUUACUGGAAUGGGUGUUUCCGCCCUUUUCUCCGGAAUGCUUGCUGGUUUUGCGUCAUCUGACAAAUCUAUCGGAAACAUCCUACUUCAUGUUGGACUGCAAGGAAUGUCAGGGAUAUCAAUUAUGAUACUCCCUGUGCUAUCACAUACGUACCAUCUCCAAAUGGUUGCCUGUGUAUUAUAUGGUACAUACAGUCAAGGACCGUACACGUUAGUGAGUCCCAUAUGUAUUGAACUGAUAGGCCGAUCUAAACUAGCCGUUGCCUAUGGAAUGUGGUCUUUUGUCUUAGGAAUCGGCUUAAUGUUUGGGCCACCUAUUGCAAGUCUAAUUUAUGAAAGCAGCGGAGAUUAUGACAACACGUUUAUUUUUGCGGGAUGUUGUAACCUCGCCAGUGCCGUCUUUGCCAUGUGCAUACCUCUGUGCAAAAGGAAUAUAUGAGUGUGUGUGUGUGUGUGUAGUCACGGGACAGAUCUGAUGCCUUUUGGAUGCAAGAUUAUUGAACGUGAUUUCACAAUGGACUCUUUCCAAAACUAUAUGACGGCGAUCUGUAAAUAAUCAAGUCUGGACCAGACAAUCCAGUGAUUGACAUCAUGAGCAUCGAUCCACGCAGUUGGGAUACGAUGACAUGCAUUCACGACAAGGGAAGAGUUAUCUUUUGUAUGCAGUGUAUAAGUGAUAUCCCAUGUUUCAGAGCUGAUAAUGAAUACAAAAGUAAAAACAUAUACAAUAUUCAAUAUAACAAUUGAAUUGUUGAACAACAAACAAACAAAAGUAAAGCUUUCACGUUUUGUGGAAGAUGUGUGGCACAUAUGAUGCUCAAGUGACCAAAAUGAUGUCCGUUGCAAUUCCUUACUCUUCCUAUUGUCAUUUGUUUCCAUAGCGUCAUCUCAGUAAUUAAAUAUAUAUUAA